CAGUCGCCGCGGUAAAACGUAGGUGGCAAGCGUUGUCCGGAAUUAUUGGACGUAAAGGGCUCGCAGGCGGUUUCUUAAGUCUGAUGUGAAAGCCCCCGGCUCAACCGGGGAGGGUCAUUGGAAACUGGGAAACUUGAGUGCAGAAGAGGAGAGUGGAAUUCCACGUGUAGCGGUGAAAUGCGUAGAGAUGUGGAGGGACACCAGUGGCGAAGGCGACUCUCUGGUCUGUAACUGACGCUGAGGAGCGAAAGCGUGGGGAGCGAACAGGAUUAGAGACCCCCGUAGUCCCUGUCUCUUAUAC
rnacentral:rRNA from 1 species